GAAUUUUGAUAUUAGUCGGGGAUCGCCGAAUAGAUUGUUACGUGUAUGUAAAUCUCGUGCGUAAUCGGUAGUAAUCCGAUUACUACCGAAUGAAAGAAAGCGAUAUGAGCGGUAUUGUGUGUGUCGCGAAUAUUAGAAUCGCAAGAGUCGCGCUGCGACGAGCAUAGUAUACCCGUUAGCGGGUCCAGGUGUGGGCGGAAACAAGGUGGAUAUUCCUGUUUUUUUUAUCGUUGCUUUGGAAGCGGGGAUUAAACCUCUGUUUGAAGCGUCGCAAGUUGGUGACCACCUGUUUAUUUCUACAUAUCAAAUCUAGCCUUGUGAGAAUUUGUCUCAAAACAAUAUUCGAAGGAAAUAACGACACGAGAUUCUCUGAGUUCGAUUCGGCCGAGAUUCGUCUUAUUAAUUGUAUGUUUGACCAAGAUUAUACUGAAAUAAUCCAAAAAUUGUGACUGACGCUCAUCCAAAAGAGAACUCUAUCUCCACGUGUCUGCGCUUCUUGUUCAUCAAAUUCCGAGAAAUAUAUAUGAGAUAAGUAAAAACAAAAAUAACUUAUUCUUGCGAUUCAAAUUGUAUAUUUUAAAUUUAUGCUUUUACACACAAAUACCAAAUUGAUAGAUUUUACUAAAAAUAUAUAUUGUUAAAUUAAAUUUCAAGCUUUUGUUCACGUAUGAUUGUGGAGUGACUAAUAUAAGUACGAAUCUGAAUAUUGUAUAGAAUUUUUUUUAAUAUUGUCAAAUCCAAAUAAAUUCGAACUCACAUUUAAA